AGUGAACGCUGGCGGUAGGCCUAACACAUGCUAGUCGAACGGCAGCACAGGAGAGCUUGCUCUCUGGGUGGCGAGUGGCGGACGGGUGAGGAAUACAUCGGAAUCUGCCCAGUCGUGGGGGAUAACGUAGGGAAACUUACGCUAAUACCGCAUACGACCUUCGGGUGAAAGAGGGGGAUCGCAAGACCUCUCGCGAUUGGAUGAGCCGAUGUCGGAUUAGCUAGUUGGCGGGGUCAUGGCCCACCAAGGCGACGAUCCGUAGCUGGUCUGAGAGGAUGAUCAGCCACACUGGAACUGAGACACGGUCCAGACUCCUACGGGAGGCAGCAGUGGGGAAUAUUGGACAAUGGGCGCAAGCCUGAUCCAGCCAUACCGCGUGGGUGAAGAGGGCCUUCGGGUUGUAAAGCCCUUUUGUUGGGAAAGAAAUCUUUCAGGCUAAUACCCUGGGAGGAUGACGGUACCCAAAGAAUAAGCACCGGCUAACUUCGUG
rnacentral:rRNA from 1 species